rnacentral:rRNA from 1 species
UAAUACGAAGGGAGCUAGCGUUGUUCGGAAUUACUGGGCGUAAAGAGCGCGUAGGCGGUUUGUAAAGUUGGGAGUGAAAGCCCAGGGCUUAACCCUGGAAAUGCUCUCAAAACUCACAAACUAGAGAUUGGUAGAGGAUGGUGGAAUUCCUAGUGUAGAGGUGAAAUUCGUAGAUAUUAGGAGGAACACCGGUGGCGAAGGCGGCCAUCUGGGCCAACACUGACGCUGAGGCGCGAAAGCGUGGGGAGCAAACAGG